GCGCACGGGUGAGUAACACGUAUCCAACCUGCCCUUUACUCGGGGAUAGCCUUUCGAAAGAAAGAUUAAUACCCGAUGGGAUAAUUAUUCCGCAUGGUUUGAUUAUUAAAGGAUUCCGGUAAAGGAUGGGGAUGCGUUCCAUUAGGUUGUUGGUGAGGUCACGGCUCACCAAGCCUUCGAUGGAUAGGGGUUCUGAGAGGAAGGUCCCCCACAUUGGAACUGAGACACGGUCCAAACUCCUACGGGAGGCAGCAGUGAGGAAUAUUGGUCAAUGGGCGCUAGCCUGAACCAGCCAAGUAGCGUGAAGGAUGAAGGCUCUAUGGGUCGUAAACUUCUUUUAUAUAAGAAUAAAGUGCAGUAUGUAUACUGUUUUGUAUGUAUUAUAUGAAUAAGGAUCGGCUAACUCCGUGCCAGCAGCCGCGGUAAUACGGAGGAUCCGAGCGUUAUCCGGAUUUAUUGGGUUUAAAGGGAGCGUAGGUGGACUGGUAAGUCAGUUGUGAAAGUUUGCGGCUCAACCGUAAAAUUGCAGUUGAUACUGUCAGUCUUGAGUACAGUAGAGGUGGGCGGAAUUCGUGGUGUAGCGGUGAAAUGCUUAGAUAUCACGAAGAACUCCGAUUGCGAAGG
rnacentral:rRNA from 1 species